rnacentral:rRNA from 1 species
GAUGAACGCUGGCGGCGUGCUUAACACAUGCAAGUCGAACGAUGAAGCCCAGCUUGCUGGGUGGUUUAGUGGCGAACGGGUGAGUAACACGUGAGUAACCUGCCCUUAACUCUGGGAUAAGCCUGGUAAACUGGGUCUAAUACCGGCUAGGAGCGCCUACCGCAUGGUGGGUGUUGGAAAGAUUUAUCGUUUUUGGAUGGACUCGCGGCCUAUCAGCUUGUUGGUGAGGUAAUGGCUCACCAAGGCGACGACGGGUAGCCGGCCUGGGAGGGUGACCGGCCACAAUGGGACUGAGAGACGGCCCAGACUCCUACGGGAGGCAGCAGUGGGGAAUAUUGCACAAUGGGCGAAAGCCUGAUGCAGCGACGCCGGGUGAGGGAUGACGGGCUUCGGGUUGUAAACCUCUUUCAGUAGGGAAGAAGAGAAAGUGACGGUACCUGAAGAAGAAGCACCGGCUAACUACGUG